UGUACUGGCAAUUAUCUUUAUACUGGCGGAAAGAGAGUCAGAUCUGGGCUUUUUAAGGCACGUUUGCGUCUCCCCAGUUCGAACAAGGUCCGUGUCUAGCUUCAGGUCACUGAAAGUCUGAUCCAUGACUCUUCUAGCAGUGGUGUAGGAACCCUGGAUUUUCAGUUUCUUACUUGACCUGCUGUAUUCUGCACAAUUGGGCCCUUUCUGGAGAAUUGAACAACUCAGCAACCUGACAGGCAGGAUUCCUGAAGAACACCACUUAAAGAGAAAUAUCCAACACCUGAGGUGAAUCAAGCAAUAUAUGGAAACAAGAUGCAGUGGAACGCAAGCUCCAACAAGUCAUCGACACCAACGCCCAUCCAGGAC